rnacentral:rRNA from 1 species
GUAGGGAAUAUUGGACAAUGGGGGCAACCCUGAUCCAGCGACGCCGCGUGAGUGACGAAGGCCUUCGGGUCGUAAAGCUCUGUUGCAAGGGAAAAACAAAAUGAUGGUACCUUGCUAGAAAGGAUCGGCUAACUUCGUGCCAGCAGCCGCGGUAAGACGAGGGAUCCUAGCGUUGUUCGGAAUUAUUGGGCGUAAAGCGGGUGUAGGUGGCUUUGUAAGUCAGGUGUGAAAGCCUGGGGCUUAACCCCAGAAGUGCAUUUGAUACUGCGAAGCUUGAGUGCUGGAGAGGCUACUAGAAUUCUUGGUGUAGUGGUGAAAUACGUAGAUAUCAAGAGGAAUACCGGAGGCGAAGGCGGGUAGCUGGCCAGACACUGACACUCAGACCCGAAAGCGUGGGGAUCAAACAAGAUUAGAAACCCCGGUAGUCC